rnacentral:rRNA from 1 species
CAGCCGCCACGGGAAUACGAAGGGGGCUAGCGUUGUUCGGAAUUACUGGGCGUAAAGCGCACGUAGGCGGAUAUUUAAGUCAGGGGUGAAAUCCCGCAGCUCAACUGCGGAACUGCCUUUGAUACUGGGUAUCUUGAGUAUGGAAGAGGUUAGUGGAAUUGCGAGUGUAGAGGUGAAAUUCGUAGAUAUUCGCAGGAACACCAGUGGCGAAGGCGGCUAACUGGUCCAUAACUGACGCUGAGGUGCGAAAGCGUGGGGAGCAAACAGGAUUAGAUACCCCAGUAGUCCCUGUCUCUUAUAC